GAUGAAGAACGUAGCGAAAUGCGAUACUUGGUGUGAAUUGCAGAAUCCCGUGAACCAUCGAGUCUUUGAACGCAAGUUGCGCCCGAAGCCAUUAGGCCGAGGGCACGCCUGCCUGGGCGUCACACGUCGUUGCCCCCCCAUCUACUCCUUCGGGAUUGCGGGGGGCGGAUGAUGGCCUCUCGUGCGCCUCGUCGCGCGGUUGGCCUAAAUGCCAAGUCCUCGGCGACGCACGCCACGACAAUCGGUGGUUGCGAAACCCCGGUUGCCUGUCGUGUGCGGUCGUCGCGCAUCGAGGGCUCGAAAAAAUUGCCGGGCUUCGGCUCGACUUUCAACGCGACCCCAGGUCAGGCGGGGUUACCCGCUGAAUUUAAGCAUAUCAAUAACGGAGGA
rnacentral:misc_RNA from 1 species